rnacentral:rRNA from 1 species
GACGAACGCUGGCGGCGCGCCUAACACAUGCAAGUCGAACGGAGUUUGAGAGAGCUUGCUUUUUCAAACUUAGUGGCGAACGGGUGAGUAACGCGUGAGUAACCUGCCCUGGAGUGGGGGACAACAGUUGGAAACGACUGCUAAUACCGCAUAAAGCAUGAGGGGCGCAUGUUUUUCAUGCCAAAGAUUUAUCGCUAACAGAUGGGCUCGCGUCCGAUUAGGUAGUUGGUGUGGUAACGGCACACCAAGCCGACGAUCGGUAGCCGGACUGAGAGGUUGAACGGCCACAUUGGAACUGAGAAACGGUCCAG